rnacentral:rRNA from 1 species
AGACUGGGAUAACUUCGGGAAACCGGAGCUAAUACCGGAUAAUAUUUUGAACCGCAUGGUUCAAAAGUGAAAGACGGUCUUGCUGUCACUUAUAGAUGGAUCCGCGCUGCAUUAGCUAGUUGGUAAGGUAACGGCUUACCAAGGCAACGAUGCAUAGCCGACCUGAGAGGGUGAUCGGCCACACUGGAACUGAGACACGGUCCAGACUCCUACGGGAGGCAGCAGUAGGGAAUCUUCCGCAAUGGGCGAAAGCCUGACGGAGCAACGCCGCGUGAGUGAUGAAGGUCUUCGGAUCGUAAAACUCUGUUAUUAGGGAAGAACAUAUGUGUAAGUAACUGUGCACAUCUUGACGGUACCUAAUCAGAAAGCCACGGCUAACUACGUGCCAGCAGCCGCGGUAAUACGUAGGUGGCAAGCGUUAUCCGGAAUUAUUGGGCGUAAAGCGCGCGUAGGCGGUUUUUUAAGUCUGAUGUGAAAGCCCACGGCUCAACCGUGGAGGGUCAUUGGAAACUGGAAAACUUGAGUGCAGAAGAGGAAAGUGGAAUUCCAUGUGUAGCGGUGAAAUGCGCAGAGAUAUGGAGGAACACCAGUGGCGAAGGCGACUUUCUGGUCUGUAACUGACGCUGAUGUGCGAAAGCGUGGGGAUCAAACAGGAUUAGAUACCCUGGUAGUCCACGCCGUAAACGAUGAGUGCUAAGUGUUAGGGGGUUUCCGCCCCUUAGUGCUGCAGCUAACGCAUUAAGCACUCCGCCUGGGGAGUACGACCGCAAGGUUGAAACUCAAAGGAAUUGACGGGGACCCGCACAAGCGGUGGAGCAUGUGGUUUAAUUCGAAGCAACGCGAAGAACCUUACCAAAUCUUGACAUCCUUUGACAACUCUAGAGAUAGAGCCUUCCCCUUCGGGGGACAAAGUGACAGGUGGUGCAUGGUUGUCGUCAGCUCGUGUCGUGAGAUGUUGGGUUAAGUCCCGCAACGAGCGCAACCCUUAAGCUUAGUUGCCAUCAUUAAGUUGGGCACUCUAAGUUGACUGCCGGUGACAAACCGGAGGAAGGUGGGGAUGACGUCAAAUCAUCAUGCCCCUUAUGAUUUGGGCUACACACGUGCUACAAUGGACAAUACAAAGGGCAGCGAAACCGCGAGGUCAAGCAAAUCCCAUAAAGUUGUUCUCAGUUCGGAUUGUAGUCUGCAACUCGACUACAUGAAGCUGGAAUCGCUAGUAAUCGUAGAUCAGC